rnacentral:piRNA from 1 species
UGGUCUCCUGCAGAACUGUUGGCC